AACGCGAAGAACCUUACCUGGGCUUGACAUAUAGAGGAUCGCUACAGAGAUGUGGUUUCCCUUGUGGCUUCUAUACAGGUGGUGCAUGGUUGUCGUCAGCUCGUGUCGUGAGAUGUUGGGUUAAGUCCCGCAACGAGCGCAACCCUUGUCUUAUGUUGCCAGCACGUUAUGGUGGGGACUCGUGAGAGACUGCCGGGGUCAACUCGGAGGAAGGUGGGGAUGACGUCAAAUCAUCAUGCCCCUUAUGUCCAGGGCUUCACACAUGCUACAAUGGCCGGUACAGAGGGCUGCGAUGCCGUGAGGCGGAGCGAAUCUCUUAAAGCCGGUCUCAGUUCGGAUUGGGGUCUGCAACUCGACCCCAUGAAGUCGGAGUCGCUAGUAAUCGCAGAUCAGCACGC
rnacentral:rRNA from 1 species